rnacentral:rRNA from 1 species
AACGAACGCUGGCGGCAUGCCUAACACAUGCAAGUCGAACGAGACCUUCGGGUCUAGUGGCGCACGGGUGCGUAACGCGUGGGAACCUGCCCUUAGGUUCGGAAUAACUCCCCGAAAGGGGUGCUAAUACCGGAUAAUGUCUUCGGACCAAAGAUUUAUCGCCUUUGGAUGGGCCCGCGUUGGAUUAGCUAGUUGGUAGGGUAAAAGCCUACCAAGGCGACGAUCCAUAGCUGGUCUGAGAGGAUGAUCAGCCACACUGGGACUGAGACACGGCCCAGACUCCUACGGGAGGAAGCAGUGGGGAAUAGUGGACAAGGGGCGAAAGCCUGAACCAGCAAUGCCGCGUGAGUGAUGAAGGACUUAGGGUUGUAAAGCUCUUUUACCAGGGAUGAUAAUGACAGUACCGGGAGAAUAAGCUCCGGCUAACUCAGUG